ACAGUCACACAUUAGAUACCCGGGUAGUCCAGGGUGUAAACGCUGCGGGCUUGGUGUUGGGGGGUCCUUUGAGGGCGCCCAGUGCCGGAGAGAAGUUGUUAAGCCUGCUGCUUGGGGAGUACGUCCGCAAGGAUGAAACUUAAAGGAAUUGGCGGGGGAGCACCGCAACGGGAGGAGCGUGCGGUUCAAUUGGAUUCAACGCCGGACAACUCACCAGGAGCGACGGUUACAUGAAGGCCAGGCUGAUGACCUUGCCUGAUUUUCCG
rnacentral:rRNA from 1 species